CCCGCCUCCGCAAAGAUCCAAUUUUGCAGAAUGUCCUAUUUUGUUUAGGGGAGAGCGGAGAAAAGACAGGGCGGUCCCUGCACAGUGUGCAGAGACCGCCCUGUUAUC